CAUGCAUCACCUCUUAACCAAGCUUGUUUACUUCUAUUAGUGAGAGUGUCUUGAAUCAGGUAAUGCCUCGACUAAUUCCGGUCAGUUUAAGGUGGCUCUUUUGUGCAAAGGGGCGCUACAUGCCUGAUAAUUGAUGCCAUGCAUCAUCAUUUUCCAAUUUUCUGAUGUUGUGAUAUGUGAUCUGUCAUUUGUGUGGUAAUAAACACGAUUAAACGGGAUUUGUACGUAGUAUUUGUGAAUUUUGUGAUUUCUCUUUAAGAUAUCUUACAUGAUGUGCUUGAACCCUGUAUGCAGGGAUAUUGAACCAAAUACCCAAUAUCUUUUCUUAA